UCCAUGGUGGCCCAGUGGCUAAGACUCUGCACUCCUGAGGCAGGGGCCCAGGUUCGUUCCCUGGCCAGGGAA
rfam:Ovis aries breed Texel chromosome 5, whole genome shotgun sequence.